UACGGAAGGCAGCAGUGGGGAAUAUUGCACAAUGGGCGAAAGCCUGAUGCAGCUAUGCCGCGUGUAUGAAGAAGGCCUUCGGGUUGUAAAGUACUUUCAGUCGUGAGGAAGGUGUUAAGGUUAAUAACCUUAGCAAUUGACGUUAGCGACAGAAGAAGCACCGGCUAACUCCGUGCCAGCAGCCGCGGUAAUACGGAGGGUGCGAGCGUUAAUCGGAAUUACUGGGCGUAAAGGGCACGCAGGCGGUUAAUUAAGUUGGAUGUGAAAUCCCCGGGCUUAACCUGGGAAUGGCAUUCAAGACUGGUUAGCUAGAGUCUUGUAGAGGGGGUAGAAUUCCAUGUGUAGCGGUGAAAUGCGUAGAGAUGUGGAGGAAUACCGGUGGCGAAGGCGGCCCCUGGGACAAAGGACUGACGCUCAUGUGCGAAAGCGUGGGGAGCAAAC
rnacentral:rRNA from 1 species